UUCUAUAUCUGAGUCGGAUAUUAAAAGCCAGUCCCCACUCCGCCCCAAGGGUCGAGUUCACACCCUUCAUUUCACCACCUACGAGUUCUUCUCUUUGGUGCUGCCUUCUUCCACAAGUGACUAAGGGCUGGGAGGUCGAGCGGCUGAGGCUGGGAGCAUCACAGAGCUGGGGCUGCUGCAGGGGCAGGAUACAGGGUUGAGCCAGCACUCACCUGAAUGGGGGCCAAGUGGCUGCUGGAACCAGCAUCUUCAGGAAAGACAGGCGAGAACCACAGUGGCUGGUCUGCAGCCAGAAUACCUGGCCAUAGAGUGGAUGAAGGAAGGGAUCCAAGACGGGAAACUAAGUGACCUACGGGAAGUUUGCAGAGGCCAUUGGAGAGGAUGGCAAGUCUGGAGGAAUUUUCUGGGCUGGUUUGGAUACUUGUGAUGCUUUGGAAGAAUUGCCUGAGGCCUCCUUCAGGGAUGGAGGAGAUCAGUAAAGGGAUUAAUUUAUACACUGGAUGGUUAGAACCUCUUUUGUGAGCUUCUAUGCUAUGGUACACUAAAUAGUCACUGAGAAGGAGAAUGGAGAAAAACAAUUCUUUAUAUGUGGAUGGAUAUGGGUCUGCAGUGGGGAAAACACAGAAGUUUGAAACGAAUUCAAAUCUGAGCCAGGCUCCUGUUGUCUCCUUGAUGUAGAUUGGAAGAGCUGUUUAUUGGUUUCACACAGGCCACCUCUUGUGUUGAAGACUCGUGGAAUUACUAUUGCCUUUCUCUCUGACUCUCCUUCAGAUUCCUGAAGCAACGUCAAGCAACAUCAGUUUCUUCACGCAUCUGUAGCACUCACAAGCAUGUUACUUUCAUUUUCCCAGUUUUACUCAGAAAUAAUUGACCUGCAUCAUUGUAUAAAUUUAAGGCAUAUAAUAAAGUGGUUUGAUUUA